AGUGAACGCUGGCGGUAGGCCUAACACAUGCAAGUCGAACGGCAGCACAGUAAGAGCUUGCUCUUACGGGUGGCGAGUGGCGGACGGGUGAGGAAUACAUCGGAAUCUACUUUUUCGUGGGGGAUAACGUAGGGAAACUUACGCUAAUACCGCAUACGACCUACGGGGGAAAGCAGGGGAUCUUCGGACCUUGCGCGAUUGAAUGAGCCGAUGUCGGAUUAGCUAGUUGGCGGGGUAAAGGCCCACCAAGGCGACGAUCCGUAGCUGGUCUGAGAGGAUGAUCAGCCACACUGGAACUGAGACACGGUCCAGACUCCUACGGGAGGCAGCAGUGGGGAAUAUUGGACAAUGGGCGCAAGCCUGAUCCAGCCAUACCGCGUGGGUGAAGAAGGCCUUCGGGUUGUAAAGCCCUUUUGUUGGGAAAGAAAAGCGGCAGGUUAAUACCCCGCUGUUCUGACGGUACCCAAAGAAUAAGCACCGGCUAACUUCGUG
rnacentral:rRNA from 1 species